UGGGGAAUAUUGGACAAUGGGCGAAAGCCUGAUCCAGCCAUGCCGCGUGUGUGAAGAAGGUCUUCGGAUUGUAAAGCACUUUAAGUUGGGAGGACGGGCCGUAAGCGAAUACCUUGCUGUUUUGACGUUAUCGACAGAAUAAGCACCGGCUAACUCUGUGCCAGCAGCCGCGGUAAUACAGAGGGUGCAAGCGUUAAUCGGAAUUACUGGGCGUAAAGCGCGCGUAGGUAGUUAGUUAAGUUGAAUGUGAAAGCCCCGGGCUCAACCUGGGAACUGCUUCCAAAACUGGCGAGCUAGAGUAGGGCAGAGGGAGGUGGAAUUUCCUGUGUAGCGGUGAAAUGCGUAGGUAUAGGAAGGAACACAAGUGGCGAAGGCGACCACCUGGGCUCAUACUGACACUGAGGUGCGAAAGCGUGGGGAGCAAGCAGG
rnacentral:rRNA from 1 species